CCUACGGGCGGCAGCAGUAGGGAAUAUUGCUCAAUGGGGGAAACCCUGAAGCAGCAACGCCGCGUGGAGGAUGAAGGUUUUCGGAUUGUAAACUCCUUUUGUUAGAGAAGAUAAUGACGGUAUCUAACGAAUAAGCACCGGCUAACUCCGUGCCAGCAGCCGCGGUAAUACGGAGGGUGCAAGCGUUACUCGGAAUCACUGGGCGUAAAGAGAGCGUAGGCGGGAUAGCAAGUCAGAUGUGAAAUCCUAUGGCUUAACCAUAGAACUGCAUUUGAAACUGUUAUGCUAGAGUAUGGGAGAGGUAGGUGGAAUUCUUGGUGUAGGGGUAAAAUCCGUAGAGAUCAAGAGGAAUACUGAUUGCGAAGGCGACCUGCUAGAACAUAACUGACGCUGAUGCGCGAAAGCGUGGGGAGCAAACAGGAUUAGAUACCCCUGUAGUC
rnacentral:rRNA from 1 species